rnacentral:rRNA from 1 species
AGAGUUUGAUCAUGGCUCAGAUUGAACGCUGGCGGCAUGCCUUACACAUGCAAGUCGAACGGCAGCACGGGGGCAACCCUGGUGGCGAGUGGCGAACGGGUGAGUAACAUAUCGGAACAUACCCUAGAGUGGGGGAUAACGUAGCGAAAGUUACGCUAAUACCGCAUACGAUCUAAGGAUGAAAUGGGGGAUCUUCGGACCUCAUGCUCAUGGAGUGGCCGAUAUCUGAUUAGCUAGUUGGUGAGGUAAAAGGCUCACCAAGCCGACGAUCGGUAGCUGGUCUGAGAGGAUGAUCAGCCACACUGGGACUGAGAUACGGCCCAGACUCCUACGGGAGGCAGCAGUGGGGAAUAUUGGACAAUGGGGGCAACCCUGAUCCAGCAAUGCCGCGUGAGUGAUGAAGGCCUUAGGGUUGUAAAGCUCUUUUGCCAGGGAAGAUGAUGACUGUACCUGGAGAAUAAGCCCCGGCUAACUUCGUG